rnacentral:rRNA from 1 species
GGGUGAGUAACACGUGGAUAACCUACCUAUAAGACUGGGAUAACUUCGGGAAACCGGAGCUAAUACCGGAUAAUAUUUUGAACCGCAUGGUUCAAAAGUGAAAGACGGUCUUGCUGUCACUUAUAGAUGGAUCCGCGCUGCAUUAGCUAGUUGGUAAGGUAACGGCUUACCAAGGCAGCGAUGCAUAGCCGACCUGAGAGGGUGAUCGGCCACACUGGAACUGAGACACGGUCCAG